rnacentral:rRNA from 1 species
AUGUUCUAUUACGGGCUAGACUUCCAUGAUCUAGCCCCGGACUCCUUUCUCCACAUCUCGGCAUUUAUUGUUGUGUGUGAGGCAUUCCUCUGCAUUACCCCUCACUUCGGCCUGUGGCUCAAGACCUUUGACGUGAAGCCAAAGACAGUCGAAGGGCAGCAUGUAGCGUGUGGAGGCGUAUUAAUAAGCAAGAUCUCUGGAGCUCCAUGGCCAAAGGGUUCCUUUCCAGAGGUGUCCGGAUUAUGGCAACGGGAGUGGUUUUACAUCACGGCUCCCAGAAGUGCCAAGUGGGCAGCUGCCCCUGUUCCACUUGGGCCCUCCACCACAACUGAUGUCAUGGAUUAG